CUAUCGUCUUCGUCCGUGGAUGCUAAGUGCUGUCACUAGGUGGCUAAAUAUUUCAGUGUGUUUAGGGAUUAAACUAUUCAGCCCUAGUGUGUUCGAGGGAUGUAUUCAUGUAUUGGAAUUGGAAGGAGGGUCUCCAUAGUUUUGAGACGAAAAACCUAUAAUCAUUCUUUUUCUUCCGAGACGCUGGCCGAGAAGGUUACUCUAGACAUCAUUGCUGGGUACUUUCUUUCCUGACAUUGUUCUUCAUAAAAAAAAGGUUGAUGGAGAUUUUUCUCAAUGUCUAGUGCCAAAUCUACAAGAUGCCUUUGAUGUAUCAUGUUGCGAGAUGAAAAUGGGAAGAAAACAGGAAAUCUGAAAUGGAAACAAUUUACUUGAAAGACAACUAAAAUUCCUCGGGUCAGUUUGGCGUUGAAGCUGUUGGUGGUGAUGUCUGGCGUACAGUGGUGUGGCAGUCAUUUUCUGAUUGAAAGUUGCACUGAAAGUGAAAUGGAUCUUCUGCAGACCUGCAGUUCAACUGACUUCAAUUUACCAUGUUGGUGUCCAUGAACUUUUGUGUGAAAUAGUUGGUGUUGCCUGAUGGUCGUCUUACAUUUUGGUGUCGUCUCUUGCUACAUUUACCCACGUUAAGUUCGAUCGUGUGCCGCCGUUUCAGACUUGAUAUAUUGUUGAAGUUGAGGAGUUGCUGAAAUUCAAGACUGAUAAAUCAGUAGAUAAUUAAAAAUGAAAAUCUAUUGUCCCUUUUCCCUAAGUAAACGAAAUGUCCUGUUGGUUAGUUUGAAAACCAGGAGUGUUAUGAUAGAAUGGGGAAUUGCAACGAGAAAGAGAAGUUAAACCACCAAGAUUCUUUUAUUCCGAUGAACUCUACCGCCUUCAUAACGAUUCUUAAACAUUUCGCUCUUAAUCAAUAUUAUUACCUCGUUAAAAAAAUAAAUUGUUGUAA